AAAUCAUUUUAUUCUAAACAUUAAAAAAGGAAGUAUUGAGUCUUAUUUUGUUCAAUUGAUUUAAUAACUAUUUUAUUCCAGAUUUCAGUAGGUUGAUUAAGUGAAACUACUAAAUUAGUUGAAAAAAAUUAAAUUCCACCAUUUUUCUGCUGAUUUUAUGUUUCCAUGGCAAUAAAUGUAUACAUGAAUUGUUAUCUAAUAUCUAUUUCAGUAGAUACCUGGCAAUAUAUCACUGAGAAUUGAUGUUUGUUCCUCCUGAUUGCUGCAGCUUUCCUGGUCAUAAGGAAUUAACGCAGGUUCUUCAACUUCCUGUUCUUUAUCUGGAGGGGAAAAAAACAACUUAAAACUGCGGACAUAUGUAGCGAAUAUUAUUGAUGUGACAUCAAGAAUGCAGAAUUUUGAUAAAAAGGAAUAAUCAAACAAUUAAUGUGACGUUGAACGGUAAUUUGACAGUGGAGGACCCUCCAGUCUGAAGUUUGGUUCAUCAAUGCUGUCGUGGAAUACAACAUUUUCACCAUCAUAAUGCCACCAGAUCUGAUCACCAGGGAUAAUGAAAUCUGCUAUUCUUGCCAAAUGAGAUUGGACAACUGAUGAUUUUCCUGAUAGCAGUU